CCUACGGGGGGCAGCAGUGAGGAAUAUUGGUCAAUGGACAAGAGUCUGAACCAGCCAAGUAGCGUGAAGGAUGACUGCCCUAUGGGUUGUAAACUUCUUUUAUAUGGGAAUAAAAUGUUCCACGUGUGGGAUUUUGUAUGUACCAUAUGAAUAAGGAUCGGCUAACUCCGUGCCAGCAGCCGCGGUAAUACGGAGGAUCCGAGCGUUAUCCGGAUUUAUUGGGUUUAAAGGGAGCGUAGGUGGAUUGUUAAGUCAGUUGUGAAAGUUUGCGGCUCAACCGUAAAAUUGCAGUUGAAACUGGCAGUCUUGAGUACAGUAGAGGUGGGCGGAAUUCGUGGUGUAGCGGUGAAAUGCUUAGAUAUCACGAAGAACUCCGAUUGCGAAGGCAGUUCACUGGACUGCAACUGACACUGAGGCUCGAAAGUGUGGGUAUCAAACAGGAUUAGAUACCCUUGUAGUC
rnacentral:rRNA from 1 species